GAUGAACGCUGGCGGUGUGCCUAAUACAUGCAAGUCGAGCGAACAGACGAGGAGCUUACUCCUCUGACGUUAGCGGCGGACGGGUGAGUAACACGUGGAUAACCUACCUAUAAGACUGGGAUAACUUCGGGAAACCGGAGCUAAUACCGGAUAACAUGUUGAACCGCAUGGUUCAACAGUGAAAGACGGUCUCGCUGUCACUUAUAGAUGGAUCCGCGUCGCAUUAGCUAGUUGGUAAGGUAACGGCUUACCAAGGCAACGAUGCGUAGCCGACCUGAGAGGGUGAUCGGCCACACUGGAACUGAGACACGGUCCAGACUCCUACGGGAGGCAGCAGUAGGGAAUCUUCCGCAAUGGGCGAAAGCCUGACGGAGCAACGCCGCGUGAGUGAAGAAGGUCUUCGGAUCGUAAAACUCUGUUAUUAGGGAAGAACAAAUGUGUAAGUAACUAUGCACGUCUUGACGGUACCUAAUCAGAAAGCCACGGCUAACUACGUG
rnacentral:rRNA from 1 species